rnacentral:sRNA from 1 species
AGCGCUUACAGAAAAUGCGAGAAAAAGCAGGCCCUUCCAUCCGGCGCACAGGGCCAGCACCCAGCAUUCGGGCAAGGUACCAGGGCCACGUCCCCACUGUGGCCUUCUCCUUUGGCGCUCCCUACGGCACCACCACCCUCAAGUACUUCCAGGACCACCGCAACGCAGCCAUGGAGAAGAGCCACACUCCCUUCAGCCAAGGCGGCCACUUCCCCACCAUCUUCUCCACCAACCCCAACCUCCUGCUGAUGGAGCGCGCCAGCACCCGGGACCGCUGGCUGCACAAGCCCAGCUACACUCGCUUCAACCUGGACAGCCAUCGCUCCACAGAGCUUACGAAUUUCUACCAGAUGGUCCAGCAGCAUCGGAAGUACUAUCAAGACAAGACGGGCACGGUGCCUCGAGUCCCCUACUUUGCGCUGCCCGUGAGGGAGCCGGAACGGUACCCCCUCCCCACCGUCCUGUGAGUGCCUGCCCUCCCUUCAUCUACGCAGUCAAGAAACGCACCCAUGGGGCACCUGCUCUCGGCCAGGCAUGCACAGCACACAGACUGAGAAAUGAGUUGAGGAUCUUGCCCUAAAACGUGCAGUGCAGAGAGUGAUGGUUACAGAGCAAGGGGGUCAGGGCAUUGGCAGCCUCAGGGGGGAUGGUGGUAGCCUGAAUGGGCGAAUCAGAAAGAGUGCUUUCCCGGCCAGAUGCACUGGGAGUUUGGGAGAAGCUCCGUAAGCUUAGUGGGCCUGAAUCUGCGGACUGAUGCCCCGCCUGCAAAGGCAGCCUGGCAGCUACACUAGUCCUAACGUGGGCACCAAUGCAGAGAGCAGUAAGGAGCUGCUGCCCUCUGGUGGAUACAGAGGGCACUACACCGAGCAGGAAUCUCCCCCGGUCCCGUUCACAUUUGGAAAAUGUUCUCCUAAGGACUUUCUGUCCAUCUAACUAAAUAGGAAAGUUCCUUGCCUCCUGCCCCUCUCUGCUUUUAUCUAGGAGAGCUCCUUUCUCCAGGGAAGGCCCACUCUGCCCUGAAAGAUGACUUGGGUACUGUGGUUUCUGUGCUCUCUCCUUCCUGAAGCGCAGGCAGGGGGAUCAUUGGCUCACACGAGGUGUCCUGGAGUGGGGUAGGGUGGUGGGUGGUGCCUGGCCUAGGAGGUCAGUGGAUAGAGCUUGGGAUUUAGCUCCAUGCCAACCACUCCCGGCUUGCCUCAGAGUCCUAAGAUUCACCAUCAUCCUUACUGAUAAAACAGCAUCUGUUUUCAUAAGUUUAAUGGUUUUUAAAGAAACAGGCUUCACUGCAUCUAAAAGUUCCUUUUUGCAAGUCAGACAGGACCAUUUUACAAAAAAGGGAACGUGAGGCUCAUUGAUCGCCUGGGGAACUUGUGCUGCGUGGCCUGGAUGGUUGGAGGCAGAGCUUGGAAAGGAAGCAGCAUCUCCCAUCACCACCUCUAGGACUCGGGGGCUCUCUCUAAUCUUGGAAUGGCUCUGAGCCAGUCCAUCCCUAGAGUAUAGUGGGACUCUCCUGGGGACAGGUAUCCUCUUGAGAUGGCUCUGGCCAGGAUCUGCCCCCCAUCCCCAUCACUGUGGGGAGAGCGGGACAUCUCAACUCUGUUCCUUCUUCAGGUUGCCUGGCCACUUGCACUGCUGCUGACAGUUUCACAACUAACGCAAAGGGCCAGCCAGGUGGUUGGGAGAAGAGGGUCAGUGACAGGCCUGGGGCAAGCCCCUCCCUCCCGGAAUCCCCUCCAUCAGCACCAUCAUCAUUUCUUAGAACACUUGUUGUGUGUUUACUCCUUGUCCAGGGCUUCACAUGCAUUACUGCAUUUAUUCCUCAAGUCAAAGCUAAGAGGGGGAUACCACCACUGGGCCAUUCUUAAAUAUGCACACUUCUAGCAGGAGUUAGGACCAGAGUCCGCCCCAGGUCUGUCUGACAUCCGUGUCCUCACUCUUAACCACUGUGCCAUUGUGUAAAUACAGGCUAUUCCCACCCCAAGUCCAGGGUGACUUAUCAGGUGUUAAACUGACGAGUAGCUGGCAGGUCAGCUUGAGCUGGAAAGUGGGCACGUGGGGCUGUGGGUGGGCACGCACCACCCUCCUUCCCUGGCACACUGCAUAACACCAGUCCCAUCCUCACCCCUAGGCCUCCUCUGUGCCCGAAGAAGAAGUGGCACCUUUUAAGACUAGCCCCCGAGAACCUGAAGACCUACCAGACCUUCCCAUCAGGGAAGAGGGUCUCUCCACAGGAGCGGAAAAAGAGAGACUGCUACUUUGAGUUCAGAGCAUAAGACUUUAAGUUCAGAGCAGAGCCUGAUGCCUGAGAUCCUGGGUCGUGACCAGCCUGGCUUGCUUGGAAUAAAAUCUUUAGCCAUGACCAUG